AAAAAGAAGAAAAUGAAAGGAAAGGAAAUCUGUCAUCCAAUCAGACUUGGUGAGGGUCGUGCCCAAGCCUCGGUGGUUCGGCUUCUCAGAUAUUUCCAAUGCAAGACCACCUGGGAACCACUGUGUGGAGGUCAUUGUCCAGAUCCCCUUCCUGCUUUUCUCCACCUCCACAUCCCUGUUAGCUAAGGCAUUGUAUUUCCUCUUGAUUUUUUUGUUUCUUCUACUUUGUGCUUUCAGCAGUUAUUCAAUAACACUCCAUUAAACCUUUUUUCAUGCCUUAACUUUGCUUUUUCUCAUUUAAUUUUCAUUGCCCGCUCUGCUUACCCCAUCUUCCCAUUAUGCUUGUUUUGUGCCGUGUUUUCUUUAGCCCAACAUCAACAUUUACAGGGUGCUUGAUAUGGGUUGAGUACUGCAGUAGGCACUUAACUGCUACAAAAACAUAAACCAACGUAAUAAUAUAUUUUACUAAAUUCUGCACUGCAUUUAUGGACUCCUGUUUCCUACAAGACUGGCACUUUGGCAAAGCAUCUCUUUCUUCCUGUCUUGAUGUAUAAAUAAAAGAUCCAUAAUUUAUGUAUUGCAACCCAAAAAAUAAAAGAUACAUCCACCAAUAAAGUGGAAACAAGCAUCCAUAGUCGUCUGAAGCUAAAUACCAAUAUCUCCCCUGCCAAACUGUUGGCUUCACUUUAGGCAGGAAAUGUUGCCUCUUGCAGCAAAAAGAGGAACCAGAUUGUGCAACUAGCAGAGGUUCCUCUUGGAGGCAGAACACCUGCUGGUCCAGGCUCAUUUCCUUGUUGUCCACAGGCAGCCAGGGAGCACAUGGGCGGGUCAUUAAAAUGCUUAGGCAAGAGAUGAAGAAUAAAGGGCCUGGAGAGAUGGUCUCAGAAGCAGAGCCCUUCCAUCUCCAGGGAAAGCCUUGCCAUGGGGCUGCCCACUUGGCCUCCUACCACCCUCCUGCCAAGAGCCUCAUAACCACGGGCCUUGCAUUUUCCUGGGUCUGAUGAGCCCCUGAGAGUCCACACUGUGAUCUCCCACAUAGAGCCCAAAACAGCACUGAGCACACUACUGCAUCCUGUGGACGCUUAACAAAUGAUCAAGUAAAUGAGUUAAAUGACUCUCCUGAUGAAAAUGAAGACUGCAAAGGAAGGAAUCAUGUCAGACACCUUGUUAGAGCAAUGAGAGCUGAAGACAUUUGUUGCUUUUCAAGGAAGCAAAAAUUUGUAGUACCGAAUGACAUGGAGAAAAAUGGAUAAUUACAGUAUGUGCUAAGAUAAGAGCAAACAAACAAGACAGUUCUCUGACCUCAGCGUACCAGCAAUUAGACACCUAAUGCCCUGGUCUCCAACAAGUCUUAUUUGGCAGAGUUGAGAAUUCACCCAGUCAAUUCUCCCUGGAGUUGGUCAGAGCCACAGCGAGUGCAAAGAGAUAUUAUGGCUGUGCUGUCCUAUCCUUGGCACCGCUCUUCUGUCUCCAGCCUAGAUGACCUAAUAACCCUUCAGAAAACAAGAUAGAUGAGUUCAGUGAAGAUCAGGUACCUCUGGCUCAAAUUUGGAGGCAAUGUUUCAUUGGGUUGCUCUCUCAUACAAGAGUGAAUCACCCUGAUCCAACUUUGCCCAGAGAGAGCUGGCAGUGAACAUAACAAUCAUUACAUCCUCAGAGUCUUUGUCCGCCUACUAUCGAUCUCCCUGUUUGAUGGUUCGUUUGAUUACAACUGUAAAUGUCAAUAAUUCUUCUUCUUGGUAUUAACUGUUAACAUCACUAUGGAGUUUCCAAUAUGUAUAUCUAAAAUGAAAAAUGAAAGGGAAUCUUUGUUAUCCAUCACAUAAGCUGUUACAUAAGCCUCUCAGUUGUCCUUAUUCAUGCUGACCAUAUUAUCAGUUUUAAACGUCACAUUGUCAUCCUUUCAACGGGCAUCAGGCACUGUGAAUUUCCUAUAAUUGGUAAGACUU